CGAAAACUCGCAAAACGGCGCAUAAAAUAAUGGGCUUCUUCGCGAUUUAUCCGUUUUGUCAAAUCAGCCCCUUCGCGGACUUUUCGCGAUUCCCGAAGAUCCGUCCGUCGGAUUUCCGAACGGAUUGCGCCAGCGCGAUCAGCACGACUGGGGCAUCGAAUCUAGCAUUUCGUUUCGUCUGAAAAGGUCUCCGAUUUGCGACAAAACCCACCCUCACUGGUUCCAUCAAAACCACAUAUAGGUAUAAUCAUAUGUAAAAACCAUUAAACCCCUUUUUCUCGACA
rnacentral:lncRNA from 1 species